GCCUGCUGGGCGCGUCUCGGCCCUGUGUGCUGCCAGGGCGGGAAUGAGGCGGGUGUGAGUCUCUGUCUGGAGUGAUUAGGAGAGACAGUUUACGCCAUACGAUUGCAUUAAAAAUUUCCCCAGCUGAAAUUUCAAGCCCUUCCAAACAGGCAUGCCUCAAAGGAAAACUGGAGAUUGGAAAACGUAAUGUAAAAUAUAAGCAAGUUUUACACAGUAUCAUCAUUUUAAAGGAUGUCAACAGUAAUUUACUGUGGGGAUGAAAGACAGAUGUUUAAUGAAACAGUCAGUGAAAAAGAAUGACUCUUGGAAGAGUGGAUAAAACAACGGCAAGAAUGGCAGGUCCUAUUGAUAGAUGGUUUCUAUCAAUAAACAGAUCUGUUUCAAGUGAGCUACAUGGCAGGUAAUAUGAGGUCUGCUCUGAAAGUAACGCCUCCUAUUUUUAUUAUGUUGUUUCAUGAUGUCAGAGGUGAAUGUUGGUAGGGCAGUAGAGGUUG